GAUGAACGCUAGCGAUAGGCUUAACACAUGCAAGUCGAGGGGCAGCAUGGUCUUAGCUUGCUAAGACUGAUGGCGACCGGCGCACGGGUGCGUAACGCGUAUGCAACUUGCCUCACAGAGGGGGAUAACCCGUCGAAAGACGGACUAAUACCGCGUACACUCCAUCUUGGGCAUCCAAGGUAGAGGAAAUGAAAUUCGCUGUGAGAUAGGCAUGCGUCCCAUUAGCUAGUUGGUGAGGUAACGGCUCACCAAGGCGACGAUGGGUAGGGGAACUGAGAGGUUGAACCCCCACACUGGUACUGAGACACGGACCAGACUACUACGGGAGGCAGCAGUGAGGAAUAUUGGUCAAUGGGCGAGAGCCUGAACCAGCCAAGUCGCGUGAAGGAUGACUGUCUUAUGGAUUGUAAACUUCUUUUAUACGGGAAUAACAAGAGUUACGUGUGACUCCCUGCAUGUACCGUAUGAAUAAGCAUCGGCUAACUCCGUG
rnacentral:rRNA from 1 species